rnacentral:rRNA from 1 species
UACGUAGGGUGCAAGCGUUGUCCGGAAUUAUUGGGCGUAAAGAGCUCGUAGGCGGUUUGUCGCGUCUGCUGUGAAACCCGAGGCUCAACCUCGGGCCUGCAGUGGGUACGGGCAGACUAGAGUGCGGUAGGGGAGAUUGGAAUUCCUGGUGUAGCGGUGGAAUGCGCAGAUAUCAGGAGGAACACCGGUGGCGAAGGCGGGUCUCUGGGCCGAUACUGACGCUGAGGAGCGAAAGCGUGGGGAGCGAACAGG